rnacentral:rRNA from 1 species
UGAGUAACCUGCCCUGGACUUUGGGAUAACCCUCGGAAACGGGGGCUAACACCGGAUAUGACGGUUCACCGUAUGGUGUGGUUGUGGAAAGUUUUUCGGUCUGGGAUGGGCUCGCGGCCUAUCAGCUUGUUGGUGGGGUGAUGGCCUACCAAGGCGACGACGGGUAGCCGGCCUGAGAGGGUGACCGGCCACACUGGGACUGAGACACGGCCCAGACUCCUACGGGAGGCA